UGGGAUGUAGCCAAGCGGUAAGGCAGCGGAUUUUGAUUCCGCCAUGCGGAGGUUCGAAUCCUCCCAUCCCAGCCA
rnacentral:tRNA from 4 species